GUUAAAGUUAAUUUUCCAUCAACACCAAUAUUUGAACUACAUUGUCAAAAAGCCAAUAGCAAACUCAAUUUCAAGAAAAUCUUGAUUGUAACUUCAAAUCGCAAGUUGCUCCUUGUCAUCCUCAUGUCUCUUGCGCUGGAGCAUUUGACGGCUUAGGAGAUGCCAACUUCGUAGGAGAUCCAUAAAAAAUACGAGAACACUCAGUGUAAGCAGAUCCAAUGCCCACUCCAGCACCAAAUGCCACUGAUGCCCAACGAGUCACCGGAGUCCUGAAGAAAAGGAGACCGCUAAAGGCCCCAGCCAAGGAAGAGUAAACGAAGCGACGGACCGUAAGAUCGAGACAGGCGUCCCAUUUGGCGUUGACGUCGAGGUUCUCGGCCAUUGAUUUUAUGUGUUAUUGAAGUUGUGCGAUGGGCUUGGUGGUGGUGAGGGUUUUUGUUUUAUGAACUUUCUCUCCGGUUGAAGAUGCUCUCAACGAGUGUGAAAUGAAUUUUUCUUUUCUUCGAACUCGCAUGAGCCUCCAAGUGACGUUUGGCUUUCGCAAGGUAAGCCCAAAAUAACAAUAAUAAAAGGGAAU
rnacentral:misc_RNA from 1 species